rnacentral:lncRNA from 1 species
ACAACUAUUUCAAUCCUUUAAACAUAACACAUCCAGCAAUGCCAUUGCAGCAACACCAUUGCAGCAACACCAACCCAAAGUAAGAAACACAUAUACUUUAGCUCAAGAAACUCCAGAAUAUCAUUAGCUUGUCCACUAAUGGACUACCUGAAAACAACAAGAAUAUAGGGAAUGAGCUUCACAAGCUCAGUAGGUGCGACAAAAUAAUCUUUAUAACAAAGAUUCUAAUUCAACAUGCACUUGGAAAUGAAAGGCAGGAACAUAUAUGAAGCUUAAGAGAAAUAACCAAUGAAAUGAGAUUAACCCCAAUAAUUGCUGCUGCACUUACGAAAGUAAGCCAGAGAUUUAGAAGCAACAUAAAUGAACUCGACUCAAAGAUAACAUUGGAAUUUCAGAUAUCACACUUUACCAAGUAUAACAAGCAUCAGCAGCCAGUAUACACAAACGAAGUAGAAGAAAGCUAAUCACGUAUAACCAGCAUCAACACUUUACUUGAACGAAGUAGAAAAAGGCUGAUCACGAGGGUGAUUUGACAACAAGACCAACAGAUAAGAACACUUACGAAUCAAUAAAAAUGUCAAUCAGAAUACUCAAGAAACUCAUGGAAUUUUCUUUCACUAGAAUUCAACAAAUCCUCAAGAUGCUGGUUGGAGCCCACCGCCCAGCUAUACCACCGAGCAAACCCCGCACAUGCGGUACCCUGAUCAGGUUUAGGGUUAAACAACCCAAGGGAGUCACAAUCCCCACUCACAUAAUUCACCGGGCCUAACCGAACAGAAUAUUUGAAAUCCAAUCAUUUCUUUCCAGGAAGUUUCACUUUCCAAACCAACUGAUCAAAUAAGGAUUUCAGAAAGAAACUUGAAAUCCCUUUUCAGAAUAUCAUAUGACACUACCCAGAAAUAGUACUGUAAAAUGGACAGAGCAGAUCUUUAGGUGAAGAUCAAAACAAUAGGUACACGAGUUUAGAACUAAUGACAAUGAGGUAGCGAACCUGAGUUCACAAACUCAUAGAUGACAAGAGGAAAUUAUCAAAGAAUGGGAGUUUGUUUCCAAGUAAAUUCAAAUAGGCAUAUCAGAGGAAUCAACUUUUAAUAUUAAACUGGUUAUGAGGUACGUAUCAAUACAUGGAUUUGAAAGCCAGCAACAAAGACUUGGGUUUUCAAACUGUUGGAGUAAUCAACAACAAAGACGAUAACUGAUAGAGAAGGAUAUAACCAAUAACGAACAACAGUACACAUAUACCCCAACAUAAUGCAAGGCAUUGAAUUACUCAAUAAACAUGAGUAGCUUUAUGAUAAUUUUGUCAAUGAAUAACGAAUACUUUCAAACAAGGAUAUCAAGUAGUACGAACUGAACUCAAUUACAGCCAGGUACAUUUUGACUUGGAACUCAUGAUUUCAUAUGGACCAAAAGGUACUGGAAACAAAAUAGACUUUGAAGUUGAAAGGGCACAUAAAUCUCUUUACUGUAUCUUAAAAGGAAUAAAAUAGAAACUGUAUAGAACUCAACAACUUUUCCUAAAUAUGACUGUUUACCCAUCAAAAAUAAGAGCAAGUCAAUAGGAUGAUUGUAGAGAAAGAAACAGAACUUAUAGUAAUGACGUCCAGGCAAGACCAAUAAUCAUGUGAAUUCAAAGAAUCUUAACGAAGAUAAACUUGAUCUAUAAUAGGAUCAUAAGCAGAUAAGAAGAAAGUAAGAAACAUGAAAGUGGGCUGCACAAGUUUUGCUAGAAGACAACGCAAAGAAUAAACAUAAAACCAGUUGGAGGAGAUAUACUGAAAAGUUCCAGCUGUAGAUUUAAAAUUUCAACUUCCUUUUUAACAAGUAUACAAAUACUGAUGGACUAAUAUAAACCAUUUAUAUGAAUGAGUUAUGAUACAAUCGGACGUCAAGACUAGAUCAAGAAAUGAACUAUCAAGUACAGCCAUAGGAAGCUUCUUUUGAGAUCAUCAAGCACUACAAUGAAACAAGAUUUGACAUGGAACAGAUUUGCACUAAAACACUUUCACGGAUAUAUACCAAAAUAUAUGGAGGCAUAAGAAAAGAUUUUGAGGAAAGAGGACGUUGGCUUUUGUACAUACUUCAAAGAACUUCAACAUGGAUAUUCAAAGGCUAAUAGUUUAUAUCAACACUAACACAUCCAUUACAAGGACACUUGAACCAUGAAUAAGCAGCUAUCAACAUACUCGUAUGAUCAUAUCAGAAAGAAUUAAACCGAAUGAGACAUCACAACAAUGAAAACUCAAUACUUCAGAUUGACAAACCAACUGCUUGUCAAUUUACAAGAAAGAAUGCAUAAGAAACAUUUCCAACAAAUACAUAUCAAACUAGAAUCAAAGCUAUAAAGAAAAGUUUGUUUUCCCUACCUCAAAUCAAGCAACUAGCAGCCAAAAUCUCCAAGCACACAAGCAUCUAUGCCCAUAGAUGAUAGCAAUCCAAUUUUUGAAAGCAAACACCCAGCUGGUACCCAAGCAAUUCAAGUUCCCUAAUUUGAAAUUCAUGGCACAAAUCAAUCAUCCACUUUAUUGGGUAAUAGCUGAAACAAGAAUUAGUUUGAGAAAGAGGACAAUGAAACUUACAGAAGCUAACAGCAAAUUGAAAAGACAAUUUCAUAUUCUUUGACAGUAGGAUUCAUGGCGAUUCUCUCCUCUUUCUUGUGAGCUAGUGAAUUGGGUGUGGUUGGUUUAGAGAAGAGAACGAUGAUCAUUAGAGAACAAAGACAGAAC